rnacentral:rRNA from 1 species
AUUGAACGCUGGCGGCGUGCUUAACACAUGCAAGUCGUGCGGUAACAGGCGUAGCAAUACGUGCUGACGAGCGGCGAACGGGUGCGUAAUACAUGGGAAUCUGCCUUUUAGUGGGGAAUAACCCGGCGAAAGCCGGGCUAAUGCCGCAUAAGAUCUUCGGAUGAAAGCGGGGGAUCGUAAGACCUCGCGCUGAUAGAUGAGCCCAUGCCGGAUUAGCAGUUGGUGAGGUAACGGCUCACCAAGGCGACGAUCCGUAGCGUGU